UGGUAUUCCCAGUGUGCACAGUUUACGGAACCACUUGUUGAUUUAAAAUGACAGUUUAACAAGUGGUUCCGUAAACUGUGUGAGCUGCA